AUGUUUCGGCUGGAGCUGGAGCAGGGGCUGGGCUCACGGACACAGCCAGUCUGGUCAUGGGGAUGCUCUGACAGGGGCAGCUGCACCUCUGAAAAGGUGAUGAGAGCUGCUGUAGCUGGGGGUCCCUUGAGAGCACCCUGCAAAACAAAGCAACAAUGUUGCAGAGAGGACAUUCCUGCUAUGGGAAUGCUUGGAGCCAGCUGCAGAGUUGAGACACAAGGACAAAACCAAGGCAUCUCUCUGCAGGGGUGGGGAAGAAUUCAUUUUCUCAUGCGGAUAUUUUGGUCUGCUACAAUAGUAUGUCCAAAACAUCCCCUCUGCCUUCCAUGGAGCUAUCCAACCCUUUCUACAGCCACAAGUUCCUAAGUCCCCAUUAUAAAUAAUGCCCAAACUAGUUUGGUUCUAAAGAGUACUUGAGGUUUAAAGAGUUCUAAUAUCAUACAUACCUAGGGUUAUAGCUUUUAAAAUCUGGAGCCCUUUCUCUCACCAUUAGGUUUAAACGAGAGGGCAGGGGCUGAAAUAGCGACUAUGCUGAAGAGGUCACCAUCCAAAUACACACUGAUGAGAGCCAAGUGACUCUGGGACCCGGACCCUUCACACGCUUGGGGUUACCUGCACCGAGGAUUCAUCCCAGGAGUCCUCGAGGUCACUGGUUUCUGGCAUCUGGUCACUGACCCUCAGCUGACAAUCAUCUGACUCCUUCACUGUUUUCAAAAUAGGCUGAUGCUCUGCUGCCUGAGUCCUUUUGCUCCCAGAAUGCUGGUGCCCUCCUCCCUGGGGUGUCAGGGGCUGCUAAAUUCAGGUCACUGUGCUUGGCCCAAGCAGCGUCCUCCAUUAAGUUGUCUGCAUCAGUCACUAUCUGAUUUCGGAGAAGCUGAUCCAAAGUAUCAUAAAAGGGACAGUGUGGUGGGUCGCCCAUACUUGUGGCGUGGGCCACAUAGGCCUUUAAAUAUAAUGCCUUCAGGACUUUGAACUUGGGCGGCACUGGCGCUCGGUGCGUGAAGCCUUCCUGCUGCAUCCGCUUGGACACGGCCUGAUAGACAUCUGCGUUGUGAUGCACGGUCUGCAGGCGCUGAAUGUACUCUGCCUCGCCUAGUAUGGAGAGAAGCGUCCGUGUCUCUUGUCUGGACCACGGAUGCCCGCACUGCUAUUGGAAGUGGCCAUGGCGGACUGGGAAGAAAGGCUAGCUGGAGGAGACUCUUGGGCAGGAGGGUGCCGACCUGAAGGUGUGAGGAAUUUCUGUGUGCUCCAGUCUAUCUCCAGGAGCCAGCCGCUUCUUCCCUCUCUGGGCUAAUUGCUGAGAAGCCAGGUCGGAGGACCGCAUUUCUGGCUGGAAGGCCACAGGGAAUGAAAGUUACAGGAGCGGUGUAAGGAUAAUUGUGGCAGUAAGUUAAGUGGUGCUACCUGUAAGUAGGUUGCAAAGAGAAAGGAUGCCAGGGUUGAGAAAAGCCCAACUCUGGGAGUUCGCUCAGGAUGGGGACUGGACCAAGGGCUACAAAGGGCCUUACUGGCUUGGCAACAAGGGACUGGCUUCUCCACAAAGGCAGGAUGCUUCCAAGGCUGAGACCUGGAACCACCGUGUAUCUGUAAAAAUCACCAUUGUCUUGUAAGUAGAUAGACCAACGGGGCGGGAUGCCUGGAUCCCGAGACACAUCACUCUGGAGAAGGGAUAGCAGGACCGUGGUGCAGUAAUAUGUGUCUGCUGUGGCUCAUUCCUCACUAACCUUGGCCUGGGUGGUAUGCUAUGCUGUGUGUUACCCAUCUGACUGUCACCACUCGCUCCUUUGUUAAAAGGUAACUUCCAGGGCCAGAAAAGCAAGCUAAAGUUGUUCUCACUAAUACAAAGCUUUUUGCCUAAUAUGGCAGAAGACAUCCAUAUCUUUAUUUCCACCACCUGCCCCAAAUAUCAACAAAACCCAAAGAGGGCUCCCAAAGAGAUGCACCUAUAGAACUAUUCUGGAUUUUGACCGUGUCAAUGCCAGUACCCUGGUUGUGAUAGUGUAGUAUAGUUUUCAAGAUGUUACCAGUUGGGAGAAAAUGGUAAAUCCAGAAAUAGAUUGGAUCUCUCUGUAUUAUUUCUUGCAACAAUAUGUAAAUCUACCAUUAUCUCAAAAAGUUUAAUUAAAAAAUAUUAUUGGCUGCUUACUUCCUGCCUUUUUUUCAGUUUAUAAUUUGAAAAAUUUAGACAGCAACUCAAUUUAUUUUCAAUACGCUCAGUACUAAGUUUAGUCAACAGAUACAUGGAUAUGCAGUGUAUGUAUCUUCACAACAAUUUGAAUUCUCUCAAAACACUAUAGUUUUGACUUAAUCACAGAUAUUCUAAAGAAAAAAAAUGAGCAUCAAGUUCAACUUACCUAAAUAUAUAGGUAAGAGAUAAUAAAAACCAAAAUCUGUAUGUAAUAUAUAUAUAUAUAUAUACACACACACAUAUCAAAUUUAAUCCAUGAUUUCCCAAACCUAAAAACAACACAAGGAAAUUUCUACUUAAAUUCUCACCUGAGUAAGGUAGAAAGGAAAGAACCUGAGGUUAAGAGUUAGGUGUCCUGGACCACAGUCCUGUAGAGUUCACCCACUAAACUAAUUUAGGGAUACUGUAACUUCUGCGUGCUUUGAAUUUCUUAUCCAGAAAUGAGGAGGUAUAAAAUCUGCCCUUCCAAUCUUACAGGGAUUUCUGUGGAUUAAAUAAUAGAUGUGAAAGCACUUUUAAAUUUAAAAACACUAUAUCAAGUAUUACGACUCCAAUGAAAACGAAAACCCUAAUUUAUAAUUAUAAUUUGAGGUAAUCUAUAAUUUGAGGAGACAGAAGUCUGGGAAGCAGGCCUCUUUAAUCUUUUAAUUAAAGUUAUAGCAGAUGAUUAACCUGAUUCUUAAGACUUUAAUUAAGCUGUUUUCCUAAUGAUUUAAGGUGUAAGCCAACUGGAAAAGUUAGUUCCCAGAAAGUGUCACAAAGAGAUCUGAAGAAGAAAAUCAAUAGCUUCUACAUAAAUAUUCACCAAUUACAAUAGACUUUACAAAAUUCAACUAUAGUGCAAAUAAAUCUUCAAAUUCCCACGCAAUCUACGCAGUUUAAAGAGUACUGUAAAAGCGUGUUAAGUUCAAACUGCCACCUCUGAAUGAUACAAAUUAUCAAAACUAAAUGCACACUGGCAUCUACCAAUACUAACAGACCUGUGUUUAGAAGCAAAUGUCUAAAUGUCUCCGUGAAUCCCAUCUUUGAGAAAAUUCAGCACUAAUAUCAAAAGAUAACAGCCUACUGGGAAUUCUGUGAAAUGACUCAGUCAUUAAAAACAACGAAAAACACACUGGAAGUUUCUAGUUUCAUUUCAAAUUAUGCUUACAUUUAAAUUAUAAACAUGUUUUUGUUUACCAUAGGUGAAAGCAUUAUUUUACUCCAUACCUUCUGCCAAGGAUCUGCUUGACUUUCAUUACUGUGUUUGAAAUAUUCCUUAUUCUACUUUGUUUUGCUGCCAAUCCAACAACCUGAAAAGAGCAAUCUAUUACAACACGUCAUUUUAUACUUAUUUCAAUGUACAAAAUGAGGAGAAUGGUACCUCUUCAUUUUUGAGUAAGCAACAAUGGCUGGAGUAACUCUGUCGCCUGCAUCAUUUGCGACCACAUCAGCCCGGCCAUCCUGGAGGUAAAUACACAACUGUAUUAGUUCUUUUGAAAUGAAAUAUAUAGUCUCUUUAGAUACAUUCAGACAUAUGGGGCCCUGUGACUGACAUAUAUGUGGAAACAAAAACUGCUUUACUGUAUUUCUAGAUCUUAAUAACCAGAAUUCUACAACCAGCUGCCUCUUUUCAGUCUGUUCUGCAUAGUUGAUAACAGAAGAGACAUGAUAAUAACCUCUCUAUAUAAAAUAACGUGUUAAUACAUUAACCUUUCUAUCUCUUUUCCUUUUCCUGUAAACGCUAAUCUUUCUUCCCUCUUUUACAUAUGAUGAAUUAGCAACAAUCCUUCGGCUUUUCCUACAAAUCAUUUGACAUUUAACCGUGAGACGAGUAUCAGGGCUGUCCCUUAUGGUUCCUUCCGCCUCCCCACAGACGAGAAGAAGCCCUAAACUCCCAGUCACACACUCAUUUCCAGAAAGGACAAGUGACUGGAGCACACACCAUCAACUGGCUUCCUACGCUUCUCGGGAUUAACAGGUCCAGUUCCAGAUCGCCGCCACCUUGCUCUUUCUUGGCAAACGUCCAGAAACCUCCGGGUACCAGACGCUCGGGUCCCCUCCCGGCAUCCUGCGUCCAUGAGGUCCCCAGGUCCGCCUUCCUCCUCUAGGCCUCCAGCGCCCAGGACGUGGCCGGGUCCGUCCCCACCCUCAGGGGACCUCCAGCUCCCAGCGUGUCCCUGGGUCCGCCCCCAAACUCCAGGGCCUCCAGCGCCAGGACGUUCCAGGCGCGCCCAGGACGUUCCCAGGCCGCCCCGCCCUGGGGCCUCCGGCGCCCAGAAAGUCCCUGGGUCCGCCCCUGGGCUCAGGGCCUUCGGAACACAGGAUGUCCCCGGGUCCUCCUGCACCCUGGAUGUGCUGGGUCCGCAGCUGCCUUCCUGAGGGGCCGCAGGGAAGAGGCCGAGUCCGCCCAGCCCUUAGCCCCGAGACUUCCUCGCAGAAUCGCCUCUCCGUGCGACGUCCCUAGGCCCGCGACACGCUGUUCACAACCCCGCAGACCAAAGGACUUGGCCUCGUACCCAAAGGACGCUGCACCCGCAACCCAGCUCCCCGAGUCCCUCACCUUAUAGACGGCCACACAAGCUGAUGUGCAGCCCAGGUGAACCCCGAUGGCCGCCAUGAGGCGGCAGAGACGCCGGCAGCACUAACGGGUGGUUUCCCAACAGCAACAGCGCCGGGCCGCGGCACAGCCCCAUCAAGCACCGCGGAGACUUCACGUUCCAGUCCACCCACUACGCCUCGGCCCUUGCCGAGGCCGCCCGCGUCGCCGCCAAUCAGCGUGAAGGUCCCGCCUUUUCUGUCGCGCAGUCGGCGAUUAGCUAUU
ensembl:lncRNA